rfam:Schistosoma rodhaini strain Burundi genome assembly, scaffold: SROB_scaffold0003238
AUCCAGCUGACGAGUUCACUUAUAUAAAUAGGAGGAAACGCAUGUCUUGGAU